AAAUAAGCAAAGUAAGGGCAUUCGAUGGAUGCCUUGGCAUAGAAAGGCGAUGAAGGACGUGACAGGCUUACGAUAAGCCUCGGGUAGCUGCCAAUAAGCUUUGAUCCGAGGAUUUCCGAAUGGGGCAACCCGCUUUCUUUUAGAGAGCAUCCCUAACUGAAUUCAUAGGUUAGGGAAGAAAUACCCGGUGAACUGAAAUAUCUAAGUAGCCGGAGGAAAGGACAUCAAUAGAGACUCCGUUAGUAGUGACGAGCGAACGCGGAUUAGGCCAGUCCUUGUUUUUUGCAAAUCAGAAUAACCUGGAAAGGUUAACCAUAGUGGGUGAUAGUCCCGUAUGAGAAAAUGCAAGAGAUAAGGCGCGAGUAGGGCGGGACACGUGAAAUCCUGUCUGAAAUCACUUUAGUGUGGGGGGUGGACCAGUUCAUCCAAGCCUAAGUACUCUUCUAUGACCGAUAGUGCACUAGUACCGUGAGGGAAAGGUGAAAAGAACCCCGAUAAGGGGAGUGAAAUAGAUACUGAAAUCGAAUGCCUACAAGCAGUUAGAGCUCCAUUAGGGAGUGAUAGCGUACCUUUUGUAUAAUGGGUCGGCGAGUUAAUUUUGUUGUGCGAGCUUAAGCCGUUAGGUGAAGGCGUAGCGAAAGCGAGUCCUAACAGGGCGCCAUAGUGCAGCGAAUUAGACCCGAAACCAGAUGAGCUAGUCAUGACCAGGUUGAAGGUAAGGUAACACUUACUGGAGGACCGAACCCAUUAACGUUGCAAAGUUAUGGGAUGAGUUGUGAUUAGGGGUGAAAGACUAAACAAAUCUGGAUAUAGCUGGUUCUCCGCGAAAUCUAUUUAGGUAGGGCGUCUGGUGAUUACCGUUGGGGGUAGAGCACUGUCAAGGCUAGGGGGUCCAAAAGACUUACCAAACCUUAACAAACUCCAAAUACCAACGAGUUCAGCCAGGCAGGCAGACGGCGGGUGCUAAGGUCCGUCGUCGAAAGGGAAACAGCCCAGACCAUCGUCUAAGGUCCCUAAAUUAUCACUAAGUGGGAAAGGAAGUGAAGAGACCAAAACAACCAGGAGGUUGGCUUAGAAGCAGCCAUCCUUUAAAGAAAGCGUAAUAGCUCACUGGUCUAAAUUAAGUCUUUUUGCGCCGAAAAUGUAACGGGGCUAAAGUGAUAUACCGAAGACAUGGAUUCCUGGCAUUGUGCCAGUGAGUGGUAGCGGAGCGUUGUGUAAGUCUGUGAAGGUGAACCGUUAGGUUUGCUGGAGAUAUCACAAGUGAGAAUGCCGACAUGAGUAACGAUAAAACGAGUGAAAAACUCGUUCGCCGAAAAUCUAAGGUUUCCUGCUUAAAGUUAAUCUGAGCAGGGUUAGUCAGUACCUAAGGCGAGGCCGAAAGGCGUAGCCGAUGGAAAUCAGGUUAAUAUUCCUGAACCGAGUGGAGAGUGACGGAGCGUACUUUUCUGUGUCUUCUUAUUGGAUUGAAGGCGCAGCGAGGUUGCUUCCAGGAAAUAGCCCCACGUUAAGACUGUACCAAAACCGACACAGGUGGAUGGGUUGAAGAUACCAAGGCGCUUGAGAGAACUACACUGAAGGAACUAGGCAAAAUGCAUCCGUAACUUCGGGAAAAGGAUGGCCUUCUUUGGGUAACCAUAGAAAGGUGGCACAGAAAUGGGGGUAGCGACUGUUUACCAAAAACACAGGGCUCUGCUAAAUCAUUAAGAUGAAGUAUAGGGUCUGACGCCUGCCCGGUGCUGGAAGGUCAAGUGAUGGGGUGCAAGCUCCUGAUCGAAGCCCCAGUAAACGGCGGCCGUAACUAUGACGGUCCUAAGGUUAGAUAAACGCAGCCUUAGUAAAACCAAACCAUAUGCGGGAAAGUCCUCAAAUACUGUUUCAGUACUAGUCAGCCAAUGAGUUGACGGCAAGCAAUUGCCGCUACAUGACCGUUAUGGUCUUUAACUUUUUCAACUACAAGCUGGCAGUAAAAAUCUGACAGACAUGUGGAUAAUCCGCAGGGAAGAUCUGAAAAUUUUUUUCAGAAACCCUCAGAGACUUUACGUUUGGGAGGUAAAAAUUAUGAAACUAGAACCACAGUGGAUUGUUGGUUUUGUUGAUGGCGAAGGUUGUUUUCAUGUGAGCAUAAAUCCUCACAAAGAAAUGACCACUGGCUUCCAAGUGUUACCAGAAUUCACCGUUGUUCAACAUAAGCGAGAUGUGCAAGUGUUAUACGCUCUGAAAGAAUAUUUUGGUUGUGGCGUGGUUCGAACAAAUCACGGCGACCGAAUGGCUUACAGAGUGCGUGGUAUUGAUCAUCUUCUGCAAAUCAUCAUUCCAUUUUUUAUGAAACAUUCAUUGAAAACAAAAAAAAAUGUGGAAUUUAAAAAAUUCCGCCAAGUUUUAUUGUUGAUGGAACAAGAAAAACAUUUGACUCACGAUGGCAUCGAAGAAAUUCGCCAAAUCACCAGUCAGAUGAAUCGUAAUGCCUCAAGAUAAAGUCCGACUUUGCUAGAAAUAGCUAAGAUAUAAUCGAGCGAAAUUCCUUGUCGGGUAAGUAAUAUUGCCCGGACUAUGAGCAAUCAUAGUUCAUUCAACCGGCUCAAAUCGGUGAAACCCCACUACCAGAUUUUGGUAAGGGUAAUACCGAGGGUAAGAUUUUGUUGAUUUUGUAUUAACAUUUUCCCCGUAACGACUUGAGGGUGAGAUCCUCAGAUGCUUUUAUCAAAAGCAUAAUACGCCGGCUCUAAUCGAACAAACAUGAUGUACUCACAUCAUGUGAUUAGAUGAAGGUAUAGUCUACUCCUCGUGGGAACACGAGAUCUAGAGUGAAGUUCCGACCCGCACGAAUGGCGUAACGACUUCCCCUCUGUCUCCAGUGUAGACUCAGUGAAAUUGAAUUUGCCGUUAAGAUGCGGUAUUCCUGCGGUUAGACGGAAAGACCCCGUGCACCUUUACUAUAACUUUACACUGAAUUCAAAAAUGAGAUAUGUAGGAUAGGUGGUAGACUUUGAAGCUUACUCGCUAGGGUAAGUGGAGUCGUCCUUGAAAUACCACUUUUCUCCUUUUUGACUUCUAACUAGAGCGGCUAAAUCGUCGCUUAGGACAUUGUAUGGUGGGUAGUUUGACUGGGGCGGUCGCCUUGACCGCCAAAAAUAAAUUGGGGGCAUCUUGGCUAGUAAUAGCAGGAUAAACAUCUGGCUAUAUGCUGGGACAUCUGGGGUAUCUUGCGCUACUGAAUGUAAAUUCAGUGAAAAUGCGACAAGUGCAGACAAUCAGCAGGGAAGUUCUAAAUUUUUUGAACCCCUCAACGACUACACGCCGGAACCCGCUUAAAUUGCGGGAAGUGAUAUAGUCUGAUCUUCAUAGCGAUAUGAAGUCUCUUUAACAAAAGAGAAUUUGAUCAAUCAAACAUGCAUUCACGGGAACUUGAGAGCAAAAAAUCUUCCUUAAGACUAACCAGACUUCAGCGAGAAGUCCUGGUUGGAAUUAUUUUGGGAGAUGCGCAUCUAGAAACACGAAAUAAUGGCAGAACAUACAGAGUUAAAUUCGAGUAUAGCGCAAAACAGUGUGAAUAUGUAGAACAUCUCUAUGAAAUUUUCAAAGAGUGGGUUUUAACAUCACCUCAAGAAAAAAUUGAUGCCACGCAUAAAAAUUUAUGGUUUCAAACCAUAAGCCAUGCGGCAUUUCGUUUUUACGCCCAUCAGUUUUAUGACGGGCGAAAAAAAUGCGUUCCAAAAAACAUUCAUCGUUUUUUAACCAAGCGCAAUAUUGCUUAUUGGUUUAUGGAUGAUGGCUCAAUCAAGUCACGUGAGUCAAAGGGAGUUAUUUUUAACACCCAGGGUUUUGAAAAAAAUGGCGUAGAAAAUUUGGUCAAAAUUUUGAAUUCAAAAUUUGGACUUAAAGCUUCAAUACGAAAACAAAGUGAUGGUUGGCAAAUCUAUAUUUCCGGAGUUUCUUACGAGAAAUUUCGAGAGGCAAUUGAUCCAUACAUCCUUGAUUCGAUGCGCUACAAAAUUCCAAAAGAUAGAUCAAAGAACAUAAUGCCCAAAGAGUAACGGAGGCGCGCAAUGGUAAGCUCAGACUGGUCGGAAAUCAGUUUUAGAGUGCAAUGGCAAAAGCUUGCCUGACUGCGAGACCUACAAGUCGAGCAGAGACGAAAGUCGGUCAUAGUGAUCCGGUGGUUCUGUAUGGAAGGGCCAUCGCUCAACGAAUAAAAGGUACGCCGGGGAUAACAGGCUGAUGAUUCCCAAGAGUUCAUAUCGACGGAAUCGUUUGGCACCUCGAUGUCGGCUCAUCACAUCCUGGGGCUGAAGAAGGUCCCAAGGGUUCGGCUGUUCGCCGAUUAAAGUGGUACGUGAGCUGGGUUCAGAACGUCGUGAGACAGUUCGGUCCCUAUCUGCCGCAGGUGUUUGGAAAAUUGAGAGGAGUUGACUUUAGUACGAGAGGACCGAGUUGAACGUACCAAUGGUGUUCCAGUUGUUCCGCCAGGAGCAUUGCUGGGUAGCUAAGUACGGACGGGAUAACCGCUGAAAGCAUCUAAGUGGGAAGCCUCCCUCAAAACAAAUUUUCCCUAUUAGGGCCGUGGAAGACUAUCACGUUGAUAGGCUGGAUGUGUAAGAGCGGUAACGCUUUGAGCUAACCAGUACUAAUCGCCCGAUUGGCUUAUUUUU
rfam:Alphaproteobacteria bacterium RIFCSPLOWO2_01_FTLL_40_26 rifcsplowo2_01_scaffold_3957, whole genome shotgun sequence.